rnacentral:misc_RNA from 1 species
GAUGAAGAACGUAGCGAAAUGCGAUAAGUAAUGCGAAUUGCAGAAUCCGUGAAUCAUCGAAUCUUUGAACGCACAUUGCGCCCCCUGGUAUUCCGGGGGGCAUGCCUGUCCGAGCGUCAUUACAACCCUCAAGCUCAGCUUGGUGUUGGGCCCCGCCGCCCCGGCGGGCCCUAAAGUCAGUGGCGGUGCCGUCCGGCUCCGAGCGUAGUAAUUCUUCUCGCUCUGGAGGUCCGGUCGUGUGCUCGCCAGCAACCCCCAAUUUUUUUCAGGUUGACCUCGGAUCAGGUAGGGAUACCCGCUGAACUUAAGCAUAUCAAUAAGCGGAGGA